CGGAGGGUGCGAGCGUUAUCCGGAUUCACUGGGUUUAAAGGGUGUGUAGGCGGGCAGUUAAGUCAGUGGUGAAAUCUCCGGGCUCAACCCGGAAACUGCCAUUGAUACUACCUGUCUUGAAUACCGAUGAGGUGGGCGGAAUAUGUCAUGUAGCGGUGAAAUGCAUAGAUAUGACAUAGAACACCAAUUGCGAAGGCAGCUCACUAAACGGUCAUUGACGCUGAGGCACGAAAGCGUGGGGAUCAAACAGGAUUAGAUACCCUGGUAGUCCACGCCCUAAACGAUGAUUACUCGACAUACGCGAUACACAGUGUGUGUCUGAGCGAAAGCAUUAAGUAAUCCACCUGGGAAGUACGUCCGCAAGGAUG
rnacentral:rRNA from 1 species